UGCAUGUCUAAGUACAUGCCGAAAUAAGGCGAAACCGCGAAUGGCUCAUUAAAUCAGUUAUGGUUCCUUAGAUCGUUUCUUCCUACUUGGAUAACUGUGGCAAUUCUAGAGCUAAUACAUGCAGUGAGCCUGGAGCCCUUUGGGUAACGGGUGCUUUUAUUAGACCAAGAUCGAUCGGGUUUCGGCCCGUAUUGUGUGGUGACUCUGGAUAACUUUGUGCUGAUCGCAUGGCCACGAGCCGGCGACGUUUCUUUCAAGUGUCUGCCUUAUCAACUUUCGAUGGUAGGUUACUUGCUUACCAUGGUUGUUACGGGUAACGGAGAAUCAGGGUUCGAUUCCGGAGAGGGAGCCUGAGAAACGGCUACCACAUCCAAGGAAGGCAGCAGGCGCGCAAAUUACCCACUCCCGGCACGGGGAGGUAGUGACGAAAAAUAACAAUACGGGACUCUUUUGAGGCCCCGUAAUUGAAAUGAGUACACUCUAAAUCCUUUAACGAGGAUCAAUUGGAGGGCAAGUCUGGUGCCAGCAGCCGCGGUAAUUCCAGCUCCAAUAGCGUAUACUAAAGCUGCUGCGGUUAAAAAGCUCGUAGUUGGAUCUCAGUUCCAGACGAGUAGUGCAUCUACCCGAUGCGACGGCUCGGACUGAACAUCAUGCCGGUUCUUUCUUGGUGCACUUCAUUGUGUGCCUCGAGAUGGCCGGUGCUUUUACUUUGAAAAAAUUAGAGUGCUCAACGCAGGCGAGUCGCCUGAAUAAACUUGCAUGGAAUAAUAGAACAAGACCUCGUUUCUGUUCUGUUGGUUUUUGGAAUACGAGGUAAUGAUUAAGAGGGACGGACGGGGGCAUUCGUAUUGCGGCGCUAGAGGUGAAAUUCUUGGACCGUCGCAAGACGAACUACUGCGAAAGCAUUUGCCAAGAAUGUUUUCAUUGAUCAAGAACGAAAGUCAGAGGUUCGAAGGCGAUCAGAUACCGCCCUAGUUCUGACCAUAAACGAUGCCAACCAGCGAUCCGCCUGAGUUACUCAAAUGACUCGGCGGGCAGCUUCCGGGAAACCAAAGUAUUUGGGUUCCGGGGGAAGUAUGGUUGCAAAGCUGAAACUUAAAGGAAUUGACGGAAGGGCACCACCAGGAGUGGAGCCUGCGGCUUAAUUUGACUCAACACGGGAAAACUUACCCGGCCCGGACACUGGGAGGAUUGACAGAUUGAGAGCUCUUUCUUGAUUCGGUGGAUGGUGGUGCAUGGCCGUUCUUAGUUGGUGGAGCGAUUUGUCUGGUUAAUUCCGAUAACGAACGAGACUCUAGCCUAUUAAAUAGGUGCGGGGUUCCCAGCACCUUACAACCUUCUUAGAGGGACAAGCGGCUCCUAGCCGCACGAAACAGAGCAAUAACAGGUCUGUGAUGCCCUUAGAUGUCCGGGGCCGCACGCGCGCUACACUGAAGGAAGCAGCGUGUCUUUAUCCCUGUCUGAAAAGACUGGGUAACCCGUGGAACUUCUUUCGUGAUUGGGAUAGGGGCUUGCAAUUGUUCCCCUUGAACGAGGAAUUCCCAGUAAGCGCGAGUCAUAAGCUCGCGUUGAUUACGUCCCUGCCCUUUGUACACACCGCCCGUCGCUACUACCGAUUGAAUGAUUUAGUGAGGUCUUCGGACCGAUGUCCGGCGCGGCCUUUCGGUUGCGCCGGUCUGUUGGAAAGAUGACCAAACUUGAUCAUUUAGAGGAAGUAAAAGUCGUAACAAGGUUUCCGUAGGUGAACCUGCGGAAGGAUCAUUACCGGAUCGUGAAGGGUGAGCGCCACAGUUGCG
rnacentral:rRNA from 1 species